rnacentral:rRNA from 1 species
GUGGGGAAUCUUCCGCAAUGGACGAAAGUCUGACGGAGCAACGCCGCGUGAGUGAUGACGGCCUUCGGGUUGUAAAGCUCUGUUAAUCGGGACGAAUGGUUCUUGUGCAAAUAGUGCGAGGAUUUGACGGUACCGGAAUAGAAAGCCACGGCUAACUACGUGCCAGCAGCCGCGGUAAUACGUAGGUGGCAAGCGUUGUCCGGAAUUAUUGGGCGUAAAGCGCGCGCAGGCGGAUUGGUCAGUCUGUCUUAAAAGUUCGGGGCUUAACCCCGUGAUGGGAUGGAAACUGCCAAUCUAGAGUAUCGGAGAGGAAAGUGGAAUUCCUAGUGUAGCGGUGAAAUGCGUAGAUAUUAGGAAGAACACCAGUGGCGAAGGCGACUUUCUGGACGAAAACUGACGCUGAGGCGCGAAAGCCAGGGGAGCGAACGGGAUUAGAUACCCCGGUAGUCCUGGCCGUAAACGAUGGGUACUAGGUGUAGGAGGUAUCGACCCCUUCUGUGCCGGAGUUAACGCAAUAAGUACCCCGCCUGGGGAGUACGACCGCAAGGUUG